GAUGAACGCUGGCGGCAUGCCUUACACAUGCAAGUCGAACGGCAGCGGGGGAGAAGCUUGCUUUUCCUGCCGGCGAGUGGCGAACGGGUGAGUAAUACAUCGGAACGUGCCCUGUAGUGGGGGAUAACUAGUCGAAAGAUUAGCUAAUACCGCAUACGACCUGAGGGUGAAAGUGGGGGACCGCAAGGCCUCAUGCUAUAGGAGCGGCCGAUGUCUGGUUAGCUAGUUGGUGGGGUAAAGGCCUACCAAGGCGACGAUCAGUAGCUGGUCUGAGAGGACGAUCAGCCACACUGGGACUGAGACACGGCCCAGACUCCUACGGGAGGCAGCAGUGGGGAAUUUUGGACAAUGGGCGAAAGCCUGAUCCAGCAAUGCCGCGUGUGUGAAGAAGGCCUUCGGGUUGUAAAGCACUUUUGUCCGGAAAGAAAUGGCUCUGGUUAAUACCUGGGGUCGAUGACGGUACCGGAAGAAUAAGGACCGGCUAACUACGUGCCAGCCGCCGCAGUAA
rnacentral:rRNA from 1 species